GACGAACGCUGGCGGCGUGCUUAACACAUGCAAGUCGAACGGAAAGGCCCUGCUUUUGUGGGCUUCUCGAUUGGCGAACGGGUGAGUAACACGUGAGUAACCUGCCCUUGACUUUUGGAUAACUUCAGGAAACUGGGGCUAAUACCGUAUAGGAGCUCCUGCUGCAUGGUGGGGGUUGGAAAGUUUCGGCGGUUGGGGAUGGACUCGCGGCUUAUCAGCUUGUUGGUGGGGUAGUGGCUUACCAAGGGUUUGACGGGUAGCCGGCCUGAGAGGGUGACCGGGCACAUUGGGACUGAGAUACGGCCCAGACUCCUACGGGAGGCAGCAGUGGGGAAUAUUGCACAAUGGGCGGAAGCGUGAUGCAGCAACGCCGCGUGCGGGAUGACGGCCUUCGGGUUGUAAACAGCUUUCGCCUGUGACGAAGCGUGAGUGACGGUAAUGGGUAAAGAAGCACCGGCUAACUACGUG
rnacentral:rRNA from 1 species